AGCCAGCCGCAGAGAGCCAGCCCCCUGUCGUCCUGACUGCACACAGACCCACUAAACUCUCUGCAUCUGAAGUUCAAAGGCCAGAGGAACUCCAGUUGACCCAUGUGGUCAGGUGUCCUCCUUGGUUGAAUCCACUGUGGCCAGAAAGUGAAACUGGACUGUAUGAACACAUCCAGGGGCCUUGUCUACGCAGAGGGAGUGCGUCCCUGAGAAGGCGAGGUCAUUGUGUCCAGCUCCUGAAAACUCCCAGCAAGUCCGGACAGCCUGUGAGAAAGAAACAGGAGGAAGAGGCUGUGCUUAAUUCACAGAUUCCAGGCAGCGUCCCAUCCUGCAUACGGAAGGAGCUCCACUGCGCUGUGGAAGGGAAAGAUGUUUAAAGGUGGAAAGGGGGUGGACAAAGGAAGUUAUCAGCAAAGACCGCACUGUUCCAGGCAAGGCUCUGUCCUAAGGAGAACGCUCGGCCUCUGCUGGGCAGGUCACCUCGGUGGUUCUGAGCAGCGUCCCAGUCCCGCGGAGAUCACUUGCUUGGCCACUUAUGGCUGUGAACAGACUUAAAAAGAAAUCAUAUAAAGCUUUUGAGAGAAGUCCAUGCGCCAAGGAGAUUACUGUGAUCAUAAGCAGGACAGUCCCCAGUGUUUGGAGUGCACUUUGAAGUCAUGGUCCCAGGACUCAAAAUCAGAGCAACAGGAAGCUCCAGGAGAGGCAUCAACACCCGACACCCUGGCUGUCUGCUCCUAGACCUUCUCAGAUCCGGGACCCUGUGACUUCAUGGAGACGCGUAACCCCUGACCCCCUUCACGUCCAGUUCUGUCAGCACCUGCCCAGCUUUCCUUCCUUAGCCGCCCUCAACUCUCUGGCCCGUGGUUACACCUCCUUCACAGGUCCACUCCUUUCUCCUCUCUCCUCCCACUGAACUGUCUCACAGAAACUUUGUUGGCCUUCCGAACACUGCUUUCCUUCCCGGCACCGGCUCCCGGGCAGCUGACCAUUAAUGCAGAAGGUCACAGAAACAAAGCAGUUUUCACUAGAUUCGUGGUGAUGCCUUUCAGAGGGCGCCCACCACUGCCCAGCAGCCCUGGGCUGUCCUAGCAGACUUGGUCUCAUUUCCCAGACAGACCAUUCCGCGCCUUCUCUUCUCUCUUCAAACUGCCCACCCCUUACUCCGCACCCAUUCUCAGUUGAUGGUCUCAGUGUCUUGAGGACACGGACACGACAGGGUGCCAACUGCCCACCAGCCCUGCAGACCACCCAUGUGCUUCCGCCGCCCCAGUGGAGAAAGUGUCUCUUCCUUACUUGAGGCAGCUGUGCCUCGGGGCUGUGGUUCCAGCCUCCCUUGCCUCCUCUGAGGCUGGCGGCUGUCUGACUCUAGGGCACUCACUCUCCUGAAUCAUUCACAUCCCUCAGGCAUGGCCCUCCCUGCACCUCCACCUUGCAAAACAAUAAUAAGGUCCCUAUGGUCCUACUAGUCUGUCUACAUUUCGUGUUUCUUGUCUGCUUUGCUGGGGAAGGAGCUGCUUUUUUAAGUCUCCCACUCCUGUUACCACCCAGCCCGUCCCCAUCUGGCUUCUGCUGAAACCGCUCCCGGUCACUGGUGGCUGUCAGGUGUCCGACCCAGUCCUCAUCUUGGCCUCUCCAUGGAAUCUGAUAGCUCCUCCCACCCCCUGGGAUGGUGGCUCUCCGUGGGGCUGCGACUCCCCUGCCUACCCCCUGCCCGCUCCUUGUUCCCUUCGCCGCAUUCUCCUCUUCUGCGGGGCUCUCCCGAGGCUGGAUCAUGACCCCCUUUGCCACUUACAUUCUCUUUCUAGGUGGUCUCAUUCCCAUGACUCUAAAAUGUCAUAUAUCUUCUGACAAUUAUCAGAUGUAUGUCUCCAGCCCAUCCCUGAUGUCUGAACCCCAGACUUUUCUAUCCAAACACCAACUUUGCAUCUUCACCCGCGUGUCCUGCUCACGUCUGACAGUCAGUGUGUCUGAAAGAGCUCUUCUUGCCCAGCUCUGCUCUGGCGCUUGCUCUCCGCUAGGCCGCUUCAUCUCGAUAAAUAUCACUGCCAUCCAUCCAAUCACCUAAAGUAGAAUUCUAGAAAUUGUUCUUGAUUUUCUCCUUUCUGUACCCCCUUCUGCCCAAUCCAGUGGUAAAUUCUCAGUCACCUCUGAAAUAUACUCCAUGUCAUUCACCCGCCUGCCACAGUCCAGUCUGCCAUCAUUUCCCAGCAGAAUUACUGAAUUACCCUGCUAUCUAGGCUCCCUGUUUCAACUUUACUCUCUUUAUUCCUCAAGCAGCAGCAAGAAUGACCUUAUCAAAUGUUAGCUCAGGCCACUACCUGUGUGACACCCGGGCGUGCACUGUGCUGAGACCACAUCCACACUUCUUGCCUUCCUGACGCCCUGGCAGGUCUGCUCCAACUCUUCCCUUCACUGGGCACCGAUCUCCUAUCCGUUCAUUCCGGCAAACCUGGCUUCAUUUCAAUGCUCCACAGGGUCUCCUUUGUCCGGGGGGCUGGCUGCCCCAGACCAUAAGCUGGGAACAAUCUCCCACAGUCCACAAAGCUGGCUGUCUCCCAUCUUUCCCAUGAGACCUCCUCACAGACGUCUUCCUUAACCACAGUAGCUAAAGGACAUGCCAAUUAUUAUCUCCCUCAGUCCUCUUUUCUCUGCUCAUUUGCACUUAGCAUAAUGCCCGAGGGUUUGGGGUUGUUUAUUUUCUAUAAUCUUUGCUUGUAUUUAAAUUCUGAAAGCAAGUACCAGGCUUUCUGUGUUUCUCAUCAUGUCCCUAUGCCUGGGACAGUGCUGACUUUCAGAAAUACUUGUAGAAUGAUGGGUGAAUGAGCAGUGGAUGCUAAAUAAAGAUACACCCCUACCCUGCCCUACAUUUCAUGAAUCUUGGCUCACCUUGCACCUGAGUCCUCAUUUCUGGGGUACAGUGGAUGACCUGGCACUGCUUAAACUGUUUCAAAGCAGGGAGUUGGAGUUCCUAUUUUUAGGGUUUGUCUUGCUUCCUCCAACCCAAUACCCAAGGGAGAGGAGUUCACAUGGUUUAACAGACAAGGGCCGUGAUGGGGGAAGCCAUGGACUGAAUUCCAGUCGGCCACUCACGAGCUAACCUUGGGCAGGACGCAGUCCCUCUUACUCGGUUUCCUCAUGUGUAAACUGCAGAGCAGUACCUGUGUCAUCUGCUCCAAGGCGUGGUGCUCGGAAGUGGGUUCACCAGUGAGACCUUUGUAAGACAUAGUGCGGAGCCAACAGUCUCAGUGUCCUGGAGCCCCCCUGGUCAGGAAGCAGGCAGUGGCUCUCAGAUCUCUCCGAGGAGUGACUUAAGGAAUGCCUUCCCUCGGCGCCUGACCUCUGCUGGGCUGCGGCUGGGGCUUCACUGAGGUCCUGGGACCUGUUCCCGCCCCACCGCCCAGGCCCUCCUUCUUCCUUUCCCUCCAUGGACGUGGACGUAUGGCGGCUGUUUCUGCUCCAUGAGGCACAGCUCCUGCCAGGUCCACGAGGCUGGCAGUCUGGGCAGGUGCCCGCCACCCUCAGCUGCUGCCAGGGACCUGCAGCCACCUUGCCCUCUGCCCUGCGAGGAUGCCCUGGGGCUUGGCUGCUGCCGACCCUGCGUGCCGCCGUGGGAGAGCCUCCAGCUCCUGCAGAGCACCUGCUCCUGGGCGAGCUGUGCACCAUGCCUCUCACGCAGUUUCCCUGGCUUCCUCUGCUGGUCAUGCCUGUGGGUCCCUCAUGGCUGUGGUCCCCCGGGCCUCCCCAGGGCUUAGAGCUCGGCCGGGGCCAUGCCCUUCCGCCUUCUGUGCCCCCCACCCGGUCCUCUCUCUCUCUCCUAGUCUUCUGUCAUCCGGAGGAAGCGCAGCUUUGGCGGGUCCCCUCAUUCGCGUCGUCUCCACACCCUGCCUCUCCUCUGUCCUGUGGGAGGUGCUCGGGGCAGGUGCUGAGGGUCAGGGGGACAUCCCUGCUGCCGACACUGUAACGCUGCCCGCCUCAGGCUUCUUCCCUGAGAGCUCUUCUUCCCCAGCACCCACAAGACACAUUUCACCCCCCCACCCAGCACUCAAGUCUGAGUGCGGCUCUAAGCGUCCUCUCUCAGCCUGUUGCCCGCCGCACCCGAAGUGCCUGCUCCGGCCUCUGCUCUGUCCCCCGCUCACUGGAUACCCCUCCUUCCCCUGCCUCAGGCUCCCCGUCCUCCAGGGCCCCCUUCCUUCCAGAAGGCCUCCUCCCCUCCCCUGGCCCAUGAUGCCCUCUCCUCUCCCUUGAGGCCAGAGUGUUUCUCAUCUGCACUGCGCAGAGUAGCAUCUUCUUUCUUUUUUUUUUUCACUCGGCUACUGAGGACCUGCCUUCCCUGCAGCCUGGUUCCUUGAAGAGAGACGACUGCAUGUUGAUGUGUGAUUGACACAUGCCUGUCAUACAGAGGGGCUCACAGACAUUUGUCAAGUUCUGUGACGCGGGGAUGUGUCUGCAUGGUGGUUAAGGGCGGAUAUUGGGACGCACACGAGCUCACGCUGCACCUGGGCCACCUCUCAGGUAUGUCGUGUUUGGUGAGUCACUCGGCUCCCCGGCCUCUGCCCCUCACCUGUGGAGUGGAGAUACGGUAGGUCUUACCCGUUAAGGUGGGAACAGGAGAAAGGAGGUGAUGAUGUGUGUAGUGUAUUCCCAGCAUGUAAUAAGUGUUCACUAAAUAAUAAUGAUGGUUGUUAAUUAUUUGUACAGCGCACACCCCAGAGCCAAGGGUUCAGGAGGCGCUUAUCCAACAAACUGGCUCAUCCAGAAAUCCAUGCAGUGGUUCUUAGGAGAGCGGAGAGGGGAAGGACAGGCGCGUGAGCAGGCCCGUCAGGAGUUCCGCGUAGUUCACUGGGGUCAGUGCCCAGGUCUCCUGGAGGCCAGCCUGGGGUCCUCCCUUGCUCCGUCCUGUUAAGUAGACCAACAGAGUCCUCCUGAGAGAAGAAGAGGAAGGGGCUAUCCUAUGAUCUCCAAGCAAAGUACACCAAAAUAAAAUUGAUACUAAGUACUUUAUCAGCCAUUAUUUCACUCUUGCUGUAGACAUGAAAGGGUGAAAGCUGUAGGAGUCUAAUUUUUUUCCUUUAUGGAAGAAACAAUCUGAGUGACCUGAAGACGGCACGCGUCGUCCCAGAAGGUUCCCAGUUCCCUGUCACUGAAGGCAUUCAGGAGAGACCAAAUGGCCACCAGCUAGGCAAGUUGGAGGAAAUUUGCAGCCUAGGCAGGUGGCUGGCCACGGUGGCCUGAGAGGUCCCCUCCACCCCUUUAGUGGGGCUGGUCCCAGACACACGGCAGAGGGUGGCAGCUGUACUGGAACUGCCACGGGCUUCACCCAGCACUGCCCUCCCGCUGCCAGGCCCACCCUUCCCAUGUUCACACCAGCUGGAGAGCAGGGUCGUAGGGGUGCCACGAGAUCUGCGGAGUGUCCAGAACCAAGAGAACUGUGGAGUGUGUCAGUUAUCCCGACGUGUUCCGGCACCUGCUCCAGGCCUCUGCGGUCCUGGUCCCCAGUACCAGGAAGAGCCGGCUCCCGGAACCCGCCAAUCCCAGCUGUAUCGUGCCUACACACAGCGAGCCGCUAAGGCUCCAGGCCAUGCUCUCCUUUGUCUUAAAAACGAUGGCAGGGUGAGGUCCCUGGACGGCACACAGUGUCCCUUCUCCACUGCAAUGUGCAGUCUGUCUCUGGAUGGUCUCCGAGCUCCCAGGCCCCUGUGCCCUGCUGGUGGCAGCCCUAGCCCUCUGGGCCCAGCUGUAGUCAUGCCCUCAGGUCAGUGUGCCAAGGGAAGUGGGGAGCAGAGAGUACAAGGGUGGGAGCCGGGAGAGCAGCUACUCAGAGAGAGAGAGUUGGAGCCUGACAAAUGUGUGCGAUUAGUGAAAGAGGAGACACAGAUGCUUGAUCUGGUUUGGGAUUAUUGCAAAUCCAUCAGGCUCUGUGGCAAAGUGAGACCAUGAUGCAGAUGGUCCGUAUCCCCAGCAUCCCCAUUUCCAUUAAGCCCUGCUGCCCAUGUCCCCUGGGACUGGCACUGUCUAGCAGCUAACUGAAGGGGUCAAGCUAGCACUAAACCAACAAGCCACCCCAGAGGGGUCAACCCCCACCCCAGCCUUCCAAGCCAGAGGCUGUUGGACUUCGGACGGGUUCCUGGCUGCUCCUCAGUCUCAGGUGGAGCUUUGGUGGGAGGACGCUCAUCGGCAGGGUGGUGGAGGGCGCACGGGGCCAGGAGAAAGGAAGGGGGAUUCAGUGGGGUCCGAACCCCAGCUCUGCAUUCAGUGGCUCUGUUGCCUCAGCAGUUUCUGUGAACUGCCACAACCUUGGGGUUCUUAUCUGUGCAAAGAGAACAGCACACCCAGCACCGUGUCUGGUGUCAAGCUAAUGCUGAUGAUGUCGGUGGGGGCCUUAGGGCUCAUGAGCUGCCUGCCGGCGCUGGUGGCCGGGUGCUCCUGGGUGCUCCCAGUGGCUCCGUGCGAGUGGGAGCCCGCAGGUGCCCAGCGUUGGUCCAGAUGCCCUCGGCUCAGGGUUUGGGCUCUGUCCUGCCCCUCUGUGCCAUAGGGCUGGCAGUACGUGCUCCGAGACUGGGGCCCACCCUCUUCCUGGGCCCUGCUCAGAGGAGGGGAAAGUGGAUAAAGGUGCACCUGGGGACAGGCCGUCUGCUAGUUGUCCAUGUACUCAUGGACUCUGCUGGCCCCUCCCUGCAGAGAUGCUCACCGAUAUCCCCACUUUACAGAGGAGGAAAGGGAGGCAUGAGGAAAUCAAGCAGUUUGCCACCGCCACCCUGCCAGCGAGUGGGAGCCAGAUUUGAGUCAUUCCAAAGCCCGCCUCUUCCAGCCCCACCUGCUGUCUUUGCUUUGACCUUCCUACCCUUUGUUAGGGCGGAGCCGGGGCCAGGGAGCAAGUGCCAUCCCCUGGGAAGUAAGCUUUGCUGGGGAGGGGUCUGGGCAGGUGGGGGCCCCCAAGCAGCAGCCCGAGGAUUUCCCCCUCUCUGGAGAAGCAUCUCUGUGACCGCUCUGAGCCUCCGGCUGGGGCCCUUGGCUCUCUGUUUGGGGAAAGCCUGGGGCUCAGCCCUGCCCUGGGCCAACUCCGGGGCCCCCUCUAGUUCACCUGCUGUGUCCCCGUCUCCCUGGCCCAGCCUCCCCACCCCACCCUGCCUGGCCACAUUACCCCACCCUUGGCCUCAGUUGGACCCUCCUGGGAUGGAGGCUUCCCUAAUGGGGGCACCCCGACCUGGAUGGCGGGACACAGUGCCCCAGUCCUGUGAGCCCUUGUGCUCAUGGCCCCCACAGCUGGGGCUCCUUUCUCGGACCAUAAAAGUAAUUUUCAAUUCAGUAUUUUAAAGGCUUCUUUCCUAAAUUAACCUGAAUGGGAGAGCAGCCUGGAGGGACAAAAGACUCCUCUUUAAUAUGAAGAUAGAACAACAGAACAUUCGCCAGGAGGGGCAGCGUCAGCUGAAGAGGUCCUCGGGGACCAUUCCAGCCCGCCUUCCCACGGGCAGCCACUGAAGUCUGGCUGGGUCUGUCCACCUGCUUCGAGAGCAUGAAGACACUAAGGGGAAAAUGGAGCCAGUUGUCACAGAGGCCCUGACUGCCAGCUCUAAGGAAACCUGGGACGAUAAAAUCAAUGACUUGAUCUUCCAUGUUUUGUUGGAGAUGUGUUCUCAUGUACGUUUCUGGUAUUCCACAGAAACCUGCUAUUCCAAGGCCCCUUUGCCACGAGGCCUCACUGCUGAGGAGGGGGCCCUCUGACUCCUGCGGGGGGCAAAGGGUCGAGGCCAGGCCUGCGUGGCUCUGGGAAGGGCCCUCGGCAUCCCUUCAGCUAGAAUGGGCCUGCUGGUGCACCGCCCCUUGUUUCAGUUCAGACUCGGUGUCACCUGGUGGGGGUCGUCCUGGGCAAGCCUGAUCCCCCUGAGCCUCAGGUCCUUCGUGUCGACUUGAGAAGACCUACCAGGUGGAGAACUUGAGGCGAUCACAUCUGCAUAAUGCUUAUAAGGCUCCUGGUCCAGUGACCAGCAAACACUAAUCAUUCACACUUGGCAGCUAUUUCACUGUAUUUUCUUUCUUUGGAAAAUAAGCAUGAUUUUUGUGAGGCCAGGUGAGAAAAAUUUAGGUUAAAAUGUUGUGUAACAUUCAGGGCCAAGUGAGACAUGUUUCUUAUUGGCUUUAUUUGAUUAUUCUCACCCUAGUGGGAGGCAAAGCUCUCUGCCCUCAAUGUCCAUCCAGUUUGAACCUCACCCCCCCGCAGAGCCACCUCCUGCAUCUGCUUCCACCCUAGCAGAUGGCCAGGGAGAUGGCUCUGAGCUCAGGAGUCGGACAGGCCUCGGCUGCAGGGCCGUCCCGUGUAAUCCCCUCCCAGAAUCAUCGCAUCGUCUCCCAGACUGGCCUCUGACUCCCGGGGUGUGACCCAUCAGAGGCAGCAAGCUGAUCAGCCCAUCUGAAAGUCAUUUCUCUCCAAAGGUCUGCGGACCAUAGGGAAGGCUGCCAUUGGUCCCCAGCGGGAAGAAUGGGCCCUGUCAGGGGCGUGACCUCCGCCUCAGCGUUCACACGCUCAGCAACCAGUGGCUUCAAGUGAAGGACUUGAGCAAAUAUUAUAUGGGCUCCUAUGACAGGUGACAAGCGGUAAACAACACGGCAAACCCUGCCGGGAAGGACAGGCUCCUAGACCAACCUGUGUGUAUAAUGCUGACUGAAGAAACCGGUGCCAGACGGGGCGGGGCAUUCUCCAAGCUGACCCCUGGGCCGCCUGGAGUGUGAGGGAGCCCGGCUCCUGGGAGUCAAGGCCCUCAGAGGCAGGUCUGAGAGGCUCUGAGUGGAGCGGUGACCACGACCGGCUGGAAUGAUCUUCUGACCAGUUGUUUCCCCAGCAGCUCACUGACCCAUAUCUCUGUUCUGCUCAGUGCAGAGUUGUUGAGAUAAAGCUUCUUUGUAUUUUUACCUUUGGAAACAAUAUUCACGGAGGAAAUUUGAUGACCACUGACGGACUUGGAGGUCCGUCUCCUUUCUGGCUCCCUAGCAGCUCCGGCUUGUCAGAUACACAGCCAGACGCUGUGUCCGUCUCUGCUCUGGCUGUGAUCCCAGGAGUCUACCUUCUCGGCAAGGAGAGUGGAUCAGAGAGGUGCCUUCCUACGGAGCAUGUGUGCUCAUUGCACUGAGGCCAUAAUUAUGCCUGCGAUGAGAUAGUUUUGCAGGCACUCCCUGAACAAAAUACAGUAAUAAACCUUAAUGAAAUGAAGUCGGUUCAUUGGUAAAGACUGGCCUCAAUAACAGACUGGCCAUUAAAGGUGGACUGUGGAAGAGGAUCGGCAAGCAGCCGUCAUAAAUGUACCAUCAGCCAAAUUAGCAGAGCAUUUACUACUUAGAGUGGGAGAAAGUCCUUUCCAGUAACUGUCCCUACAGCUGCCGUCCCUCGGGGAGCAUCUGAUGCUGCGCGGCUGUGCGGCUCUCGGAACAGGCCCGGGCGGGGCUCUCUGCGGCCAGUGCUUCUGCAGAGAGGACUUCCUUGGGGCAGAGGCCCCAUCAGCUGUGAGCACCCUGCGGCUCUCUGGGGGCUGCUGGGGUUUGGAGAGACAUGUGUCUGCGUGUCUCCCUCAAGGCUAUGUUUACAGCGCUUCCAGAAGCCAGGGUAUUUGUUCUGAGACCUGGGUGAUGUGCGGAACAUUUCCAACAAUGCAGCCUAUUCUUCAGCAGUGAGAUUUGGGGGCACAGCUUUUUUAACCUGUAGGUAAUAAUCCCCCUCUAUUUGCAGUUUAUAAAACACCUACAGGACUGAUUCAUUUGAUCUUCAUAGCUUUGGGGAAGGUGCCUCUUCUGAUCUUGCAGACCGAUGAGCCCAGGCUCCAGGGGCAUAAGCAGCUUGCCCAAGACAGACAGGGAGUUAGUGGGAGAGAUUGGGCUUUCGACCUGCUCUUGCCGUAACUGAACACGCACCUCUUAGCACUGUCCCAUCCAUGGCUGAGCUUGCCUUGAGGAAUGAAGCCCUGCAAAGGCCACAUCUCCACAGACUGCGAGCCCCUGCCGGUCAGUCUGCUCUGCCCCUGGCACCGCCCCCAGCGCCUGUCCCAGUCCUGUGUUGCACGUAGGGGUCCUUCCUGAAUCCAGGUUGAUUGAAGGCUGAUAUGUAGGUUGGAUAUCACAGGCUGCCGACAUCUAGUUCAGCCCGGUACAUGCAAGUGCUCUGUCGUUGAGGAAUGAAUGAAUAUGCAUUAAAAAGCAGCCAUGUGGACAGGUUUGGGGGAGGUAGGUAGGGGAGGUAAGAAUAAAGGUCAGUACUAGCAAGGGUUAUGCAGCAUGGACAGAAAGGACCUUUGGGAGGAAGGCACACAGGCAUCAGAAGAGUUCAGGCUUCAGGCUCUCCACGUGUCCAGACUGGGGAAACUGAGCAAUAACUGGUUCCUUUGGUUAAGUGGAGGGUGUUUGGAGACAGCUGCUCCGUGCCCCGCUGUGGCCACCUGAGCCUCCUGGGUUUGAAGGUAGAGGUCUUAGAAGUGAUCUCAGAUCAUCUAGGCCUCGUGUCCACCUCCUCCGUCUCCUGGACCGUGAUAUCCCGAGCACUCUUGUCUGGUAACAGUGACAGGUUCAAAAACAAAGGCCCCAAGAAAUAACAGGCGCAGGGACGCCACCAGGAAGCCCUGCGGAUUCAGCUCAUUCCACCUAUUCCUGUGGGGGGAUGUCAAAGGCAGUUCCCACAGUACUGCAGGCUUUUCCCAGACGAAGCCUUUAGUUCGUGAGCUGCCCUGGGCCCUGGUGACUCACCCAGGGACAGGGCAUUGGGAGGCGAGGGGCCCUUCCUCCCGCUGCCUGGGCAGAGCCCUCACGGAAGCGUGUCUGGAGCGUCGCAGCCGCAUGUCACCAAGCUACCGAGUGCUGACUGCAAGCUGCUGCCUCCAGCCUUCCUGAACCAUCUUCAGCCCGGGCAGGGCUGUGACUCCUACGACCUUUCACCUUCCCACACUCACACCGGGGCUUCCUUUCCCAGUCUCUGCACUCCCUCCGUCGCUCUCUCUGGAGUAACGCUCAGUCCUGGCUCCCCACACUUCUGGACCCUCCC